rnacentral:lncRNA from 1 species
AUACACUUAGUUCCGCAUAUAAGUUAAACAAUUGGCAAAGCAAAAAUAGAACAAGUUAUGAUUAUUUACAGGAUUACUAAAAUUCCAACAUAAAUCCAACAUACAACCCAAAACAAAACUUCGACAUACAAGCGGACAUAAUCGAAACGCACAAUGUAGCUAACACCCAAAAUGAUCGACUUGGAACCAGAAAAAUAACAAUAUCAGGACAGCAAACAUAACACGAAUCAAAACUUUAAACAAAUUCAUAUCAGUUUGAAAUGUUGUCGAAUGCGGAACUUUAAAUGUUAUGGCCUUGUUGUUAUCGAAUAAUAUUUACCUGUGGAAUCAGAGGUGGACCGACCAAUCUUUGUAUCAAUAGCGUGACCUGAAGCGAAUAUGUGAUAUUGACCAACCGCUAGCUCCUAAAAGACCGUCCC